ACUGGAAAGCUGCUUCUAGUGGCCAUAUGAGACACAUGAAGCCAGGCUCAGUACACAUAGCAAUUGGGAUGACACUUAAAACCCUUUCCUAGAGCGUUGGAAAAAACUUCAGCCCCUAUCUCCUCACAUGACCUUUGACCUACAGAAACCAUUCAGGGCUUUGAAAUUUAAGCUCAUUGAGGACAUUAUUGGGUGUAUUUAGGAUUGUUAUUCAUUUAAAUUUUUCACAUUUUAAAAGUCAGUCAGUGAUGAUUUAUCAUUUAAUUUUUCAAACUAAUUUAAACUCAUUCAAACUGAUUCAAACCUUUCUAAUACUUCAAAACUUUCUGAUACUUGAGGAUUUUUGAUAAUUUAAAAUUUCCCUGAUUUAAAUUAGUUUUAAUAUUUAUGCAUUACUCCAUCAUUCAAACAAAAUCCUACCUCAAGUACGACAACUACUGCUAAUGUCAAUUAAACUAGAACUUUCCCCUCUACUUCAACUGCUAUUGCUCCUAUUUCUACUUUCUUUACUACUUUGACUUAUACUUCUUUUAUUCUCAAUCUACUUCUACUGCCGACAUGACUACUAGUAUCAUAACUUGACUUCUUAUCAUACUACUUCUAGUACUACAAUUUAAACUUAUGCCACUUCUCACCUUCCUGCCUUUUAAGGCAAUUUCCUUCUUCAUUAAAACUUUGUGCAAUUUUCGACAUUUUUCUAGCCUCUUUCAGCAUGAAUAAAAUUUCCUUUUAUAGAGCAUAUUCAUACUAUUUGUCCUUCAACCAAUUAAUCAAUUAUCCAACUUAUAUUUCUGUUCACCCCUUCAACAGCUUUAACAUUUAUACCUUUCUCCAUGUUUUAUUAGCAGUUUAGCAUUGCUUUUUCAGCUUUCAGCACUCAGCAUUUCCACGCAUUUUCUGCAAGGAAAUGCAAUUUUUCUAGUUAUUAUU